rnacentral:rRNA from 1 species
GCGAGGGGAGUGAAAAAGAACCUGAAACCGUGUACGUACAAGCAGUGGGAGCCCCACCACUAAGCCAGUGGUGAACUCCACAUACGCAUCCUUUGCUGAGGAUACGGUUAACGGAGCGAAAGCGACGUUCAACCGCAAAAGAAGCAGAGGGGGCUUAGUGGUGGGGUGACUGCGUACCUUUUGUAUAAUGGGUCAGCGACUUAUAUUCUGUAGCAAGGUCAAAGCAUUCUCUGGUGUUGAAGGCCCUGCAAAGCAGCAUCGCGGUGGCGGAGCGUCGUUUGCGACGCCCAACACACAAAACAAGCGGUGAAUGCUUUGGGGUGGGGUGACUGCGUACCUUUUGUAUAAUGGGUCAGCGACUUAUAUUCUGUAGCAAGGUUAACCGAAUAGGGGAGCCGGAGGGAAACCGAGUCUUAAUUGGGCGUUAAGUUGCAGGGUAUAGACCCGAAACCCGGUGAUCUAGCCAUGGGCAGGUUGAAGGUUGGGUAACACUAACUGGAGGACCGAACCGACUAAUGUUGAAAAAUUAGCGGAUGACCUGUGGCUGGGGGUGAAAGGCCAAUCAAACCGGGAGAUAGCUGGUUCUCCCCGAAAGCUAUUUAGGUAGCGCCUCGUGAAUUCAUCUCCGGGGGUAGAGCACUGUUUCGGCUAGGGGGCCAUCCCGGCUUACCAACCCGAUGCAAACUGCGAAUACCGGAGAAUGUUAUCACGGGAGACACACGGCGGGUGCUAACGUCCGUCGUGAAGAGGGAAACAACCCAGACCGCCAGCUAAGGUCCCAAAGUCAUGGUUAAGUGGGAAACGAUGUGGGAAGGCCCAGACAGCCAGGAUGUUGGCUUAGAAGCAGCCAUCAUUUAAAGAAAGCGUAAUAGCUCACUGGUCGAGUCGGCCUGCGCGGAAGAUGUAACGGGGCUAAACCAUGCACCGAAGCUGCGGCAGCGAACGUAUCACCCAAGACAACUUUACGGAGUUGACGAUUGACGGAGCGAAGCGACGUCAAAGCGUUCAUUAAAGUCGAGUUGGCUUAGGGAUACGUUCGUUGGGUAGGGGAGCGUUCUGUAAGCCUGUGAAGGUGUGUCGUGAGGCAUGCUGGAGGUA